UAACAACAAGCAUAUAGACCCGCACAAUUAAUUUUUAUUGUUGCUGUGGAAAAUAAUAUAUGCAAUCACAAAUCACUUGAUGCUUUUGCAAUUCGAAAUCCUCAGGGUUCGGUAGCAAAUGCAGCUCCUGAUCUACGGCCUCUGAGUUUGGACGACUUCAUUCAGUCAAAAGCUAAGGUAUUGUAAAUCAAUGUCUUAAAGAAAACAUCACCUUUGUUUUAUGUGUUUUUGUUCUGGUCGGUGGAGUAUCAUCAUUUGAAUGCAAUUGCAGGUAAGUCCGUCGGUGGCGUAUGAUGCGACGACGAUGA
rnacentral:lncRNA from 1 species